rnacentral:rRNA from 1 species
UACGUAGGUGGCAAGCGUUGUCCGGAUUUAUUGGGUUUAAAGGGUGCGUAGGCGGUCUAUUAAGUCAGUGCUGAAAUAUCCCGGCUUAACCGGGAGGGUGGCAUUGAUGCUGAUGGAUUUGAGUAAAGUUGAGGUAGGCGGAAUUGACGGUGUAGCGGUGAAAUGCUUAGAUAUCGUCAAGAACACCGAUAGUGUAGACAGCUUACUAAGCUUUAACUGACGCUGAGGCACGAAAGUGUGGGGAUCAAACAGG